ACAAUCUUAGUCUUUUGUUUCUUAUAUUUUUAACUUUUUUAAUUGUUAAUCUUUGCUUUUAAAGUUUUUUUAAUCAAGUCAUUUUAUUUUUCAUGUCAUCAAACAAACAUCGGAGUGGGAAUCAAUUUGGCGACCGUGCUCAUCAACAUGACCCAUGUUGAAUUCUUUGAACGCAACAUGGGUUCCCAUGGUCAGCAGCACAACCAAUGUCGUGUGAACCCUACAUAAAGCCUUUGCCCUAUACCCUAGCUCGUCACGCCUAUGCCUACACCUUAUCUUCCAAAACCCUACAUCUUCUUCCUCUAGACCUCUUCCUCGAGUUUACCCUUAGCCCUCAACCAUGCCUCCACUCUUUUUUCUCAUGAGAUCACACCUUCUUGCCCUAAAUCCCUGCUUCUUAUUUUUGAGAUCUUGAAGAGAAGAUGAAAAGAACAAGGCGAGAGGAAGCUUCCACAUCCAAAGGGAAAGGAAAGGAGAAGGAGAAAGAAGCACGCGAUAAGGUUUGUGAAGUGAUGUGAUAGAUAUAUAGGGGAUUCCACAUCAAUCUUCUAGUUAACGUGCUAGUCAAAAGUUAAGGUAAAUCAACACAAGUGAAGGGUUGAUCUGGACAUCAGGGACUACCACUCGAUAGACACACAGCGCAGGAAAAAUUUCAAGGUCUGGAAUUUCAUUUGGACAGCUAUCUCUUGUUAUUGGGGCUACUGCAUGCGGUCCUAGUCAGUUAGUGUGCAUUUUUUUUUUCCCUUCUCAGAAUUGUUGUCUUUUCGGUCGAGCUAGUUCGCUUAUGUUGUUACAGUUUAACUCUGUUACUUUCUCUUGUUAUAUUACUAGUACUAAAAGGCCUUCCA